CCGCGUCCGAUUAGCCAGUUGGCGGGGUAACGGCCCACCAAAGCGACGAUCGGUAGCCGGCCUGAGAGGGCGGACGGCCACAUUGGGACUGAGACACGGCCCAAACUCCUACGGGAGGCAGCAGUGGGGAAUAUUGCACAAUGGGGGAAACCCUGAUGCAGCGACGCCGCGUGAGUGAAGAAGUAUCUCGGUAUGUAAAGCUCUAUCAGCAGGGAAGAAAAUGACGGUACCUGACUAAGAAGCCCCGGCUAACUACGUGCCAGCAGCCGCGGUAAUACGUAGGGGGCAAGCGUUAUCCGGAUUUACUGGGUGUAAAGGGAGCGUAGACGGCGCUGCAAGUCCGGAGUGAAAGCCCAUGGCUUAACCAUGGUACUGCUCUGGAAACUGUGGAGCUUGAGUGCGGGAGGGGCAGGCGGAAUUCCUAGUGUAGCGGUGAAAUGCGUAGAUAUUAGGAGGAACACCGGCGGCGAAGGCGGCCUGCUGGACCGUAACUGACGUUGAGGCUCGAAAGCGUGGGGAGCAAACAGGAUUAGAUACCCUGGUAGUCCACGCCGUAAACGAUGAUUACCAGGUGUCG
rnacentral:rRNA from 1 species